AUUGAACGCUGGCGGCAUGCUUUACACAUGCAAGUCGAACGGUAACAGGCCGCAAGGUGCUGACGAGUGGCGAACGGGUGAGUAAUGCAUCGGAACGUGCCCAGUCGUGGGGGAUAACUACUCGAAAGAGUAGCUAAUACCGCAUACGAUCUAUGGAUGACAGCGGGGGACCGUAAGGCCUCGCGCGAUUGGAGCGGCCGAUGUCAGAUUAGGUAGUUGGUGGGGUAAAGGCUCACCAAGCCAACGAUCUGUAGCUGGUCUGAGAGGACGACCAGCCACACUGGGACUGAGACACGGCCCAGACUCCUACGGGAGGCAGCAGUGGGGAAUUUUGGACAAUGGGCGCAAGCCUGAUCCAGCAAUGCCGCGUGCAGGAAGAAGGCCUUCGGGUUGUAAACUGCUUUUGUACGGAACGAAACGGCUCUGGUUAAUACCCGGGGCUAAUGACGGUACCGGAAGAAUAAGCACCGGCUAACUACGUG
rnacentral:rRNA from 1 species